rnacentral:rRNA from 1 species
UACGUAGGGUGCGAGCGUUAAUCGGAAUUACUGGGCGUAAAGCGUGCGCAGGCGGUUCGCUAAGACCGAUGUGAAAUCCCCGGGCUUAACCUGGGGAACUGCAUUGGUGACUGGCGGGCUAGAAGUAUGGGCAGAGGGGGGUAGAAUUCCACGUGUAGCAGUGAAAUGCGUAGAGAUGUGGAGGAAUACCGAUGGCGAAGGCAGCCCC